rnacentral:rRNA from 1 species
AUUGAACGCUGGCGGCAUGCCUUACACAUGCAAGUCGAACGGCAGCGGGGGAGAAGCUUGCUUUUCCUGCCGGCGAGUGGCGAACGGGUGAGUAAUACAUCGGAACGUGCCCUGUAGUGGGGGAUAACUAGUCGAAAGAUUAGCUAAUACCGCAUACGACCUGAGGGUGAAAGUGGGGGACCGCAAGGCCUCAUGCUAUAGGAGCGGCCGAUGUCUGAUUAGCUAGUUGGUGGGGUAAAGGCCUACCAAGGCGACGAUCAGUAGCUGGUCUGGGAGGACGAGCAGCCACACUGGGACUGCGACACGGCCAAGACUCCUACGGGAGGCAGCAGUGGGGAAUUUUGGACAAUGGGCGAAAGCCUGAUCCAGCAAUGCCGCGUGUGUGAAGAAGGCCUUCGGGUUGUAAAGCACUUUUGUCCGGAAAGAAAUGGCUCUGGUUAAUACCUGGGGUCGAUGACGGUACCGGAAGAAUAAGGACCGGCUAACUACGUGCCAGCCGCCGCAGUAA